UUUGAGUACGUAUGUGUAUUAUUCUAUGACCCCUUAUCACAUGUAUAGAUCCAUGUUACCACCACCCAAAUCCAGAUCCAGAAAUCCUCCGUUGCCACAAUAAAACUCUCUGGGGCUACCCUUUUAUUCCAAAUGACUUUUUAAGAAGAUAUCCAGUACAUGUAUCGUAAAGAGCUUUAGGACACUAGGCACCUACAUAUUAUUAGCACAAAGGGUUAAUAGUCAUUUUUUUUUAAAAAAAAAAUCAUGUUAAAACCAUUUUCAU
rnacentral:lncRNA from 1 species